rnacentral:rRNA from 1 species
UACAGAGGUCUCAAGCGUUGUUCGGAUUUAUUGGGCGUAAAGAGCGUGUAGGCGGCCAGGUAGGUCCGUUGUGAAAACUCGAGGCUCAACCUCGAGACGCCGAUGGAAACCAUCUGGCUAGAGUCCGGAAGAGGAGAGUGGAAUUCCCGGUGUAGCGGUGAAAUGCGCAGAUAUCGGGAAGAACACCAGUGGCUAAGGCGGCUCUCUAGUACGGUACUGACGCUGAGACGCGAAAGCGUGGGGAGCGAACAGG